UGAGCUCAGGCAAGGCYACCCGCUGAACUUAA
rnacentral:rRNA from 1 species